rnacentral:lncRNA from 1 species
UUUAGGACGCCUAAUGAAUAGUCUGCAUUCGUACCUAGAGUUGUUUGGCUUAUUUCCAGACAUUUAAUUCCUUCUUUGUACCCAAUAUGCUUGUUUCCCUCUAUGGUAGGAAUUCCAUUUCUCUUAUGGAUUCCAAUACACUUCCACCUUUCGGUUUCGAAUUAUACCUCUUGAGUCACUUGUUACGAGAUACUCUAUUCUGUGACUUUGGUCACUUCACUCCAUUUAUCUCCAUGAUACAUUCAUAUCAUACCUUCUUUCACUUCAUGUGAUAUACCACAUUCUUUGAGCCAAAUACAAUAUACCUUUGUGCUCCAUCUUAUAUCUCUUUGUGAACCAAGAGCUGUUUGCGCUAUGAAACCAAACACUUAAUUCAUUCUUUUUUUGGUUAUUCCAAUAUAGUGUUAUAUGCCCUCACUUGUUGGUUCAUACCAGUUUUACUCUCAGGUUCACGCUUUCACCCCUUGUUGGAGUUCAAAUCAUAUUAUUCUUUGGUACAGACCAUACUUUGAUCACACUUCUUUCCACCUCCUGCCUAUAGUUCCUUGAACUACGAAGCUCUGAAUUCCUCAUUGCACUAUGAGGAUACGUAGGCAUGAGGUCCCCAAUCCUCACUGAGCACUUUAUCUAUUUCUUUUCCUUUUCCCAUUCUUUCGCGAGUAAUCCUUAGAUAUAACACCUAUUCGAGCGAGAACAAUCAAAACGGUUCCCAUGGAGUACCAUGGAUGUUUGUGAAGGAGAAGGGCGAUCCAAAACGCAGCGGAAAUUAAAAAUUUCUCCUUUAGUGAUCCUUACGAAUGGGCAUGAUCAAUGAUAGAAAGGUUACCUCUUGUGACGUUUGAAACCUUUGAUGCAGAUCUCUUGUGACAAUUGAAACCUUUGAUGAACGAUGACAACGUCUCUACUCAGUCCACACGAACAGAUUCCUUCAAUCUCAUUGCUAGAUGUUAUGAAUGAAGGCCUUGAGUGAGAGAGAGAGAGAGAAAGAAAAUGAAAAAUGCAACUGCAACAAAUGCUUCUGCACAAGGGUUCUAUUUAUAGAACCACUUGU